AUUGAACGCUGGCGGCAGGCCUAACACAUGCAAGUCGAACGAUUGGCGGACGGGUGAGUAAUGUCUGGGAAACUGCCUGAUGGAGGGGGAUAACUACUGGAAACGGUAGCUAAUACCGCAUACCAUCAGAUGUGCCCAGAUGGGAUUAGCUAGUUGGUGGGGUAACGGCUCACCAAGGCCACGAUCCCUAGCUGGUCGGAGAGGAUGACCAGCACAACUGGAACGGUGACACGGCCAAGACUCCUCCGGGAGGCAGCAGUGGGGAAUAUUGCAAAAUGGGCGAAAGCCGGAUGCAGCCAUGCGGCUGGUAGGAAGAAGGCCUUCGGGUGGUAAAGUACUUUCAGCGGGGAGGCGUUACCCGCAGAAGAAGCACCGGCUAACUCCGUGCCAGCAGCCGCGGUAAUUC
rnacentral:rRNA from 1 species